UACGUAGGGGGCGAGCGUUGUCCGGAGUUACUGGGCGUAAAGCGCACGCAGGCGGUCUGCUAAGUUUGGAGUGACAGUUGGUGGCUUAACUGCCAAAGUGCUUCGAAAACUGACAGACUUGAGGGCUUCAGAGGGAUACGGAAUUCCGGGUGGAGUGGUGAAAUGCGUAGAGAUCCGGAGGAACACCAAAGGCGAAGGCAGUGUCCUGGGGAGUACCUGACGCUCAGGUGCGAAAGCCAGGGGAGCGAACGGG
rnacentral:rRNA from 1 species